UUUGGGUGAAGAAGAAAAAUGGGUUUGAAUUGGAUUGGAAUUUGAGUGAAAGGGGGAGUCUUAUAUAAGGAAGAAGAAGUGAGGGAACGACCAAGAACAAGAACAAUCAUAGGAGAUUGGAAAAAGAAUUUGGGGAAUUAAUAUUAGUUUAGGAUAGGGUUUGAGAAAAUUAAAAAUUAAGAAAAAAAGAAAGAAAAAAUAAUAAUAAUAAAGAAAGAAAGGAAGAGAAGAAGAUGAAUUUUGUUUUGUGUUGUGUGGAUGAAUGAUUGGUGAAUGGUGUCCUUAAAGGAAGGGAGAGUCAUUGCCUUAAGGAGACCACACACUACACUAGGAUAACAAAAAGAGAUCAAAAUAACCAUUAUGGAUAUCUUAGUACUUUACAUUGUAAAUUGUUAAAAAAAAAACUAGAAUUUGUUGUAUAAAAGACUAUAGUUUUUAGUUUUUGUCUCUAAAGAUCACCUAUAUGAUUAAAAGUUGUUUGGGUGGUUGUUAAACAAAAUUGGUAUGAGUUUUAUAAGGCAAGUUUAAAACAAAAUAUGUUUAGUUUAAAUUAGUUUUUACUUCAAUUUUAAAAUUAUAAAUAUAUAUUUUAUAAUUUAGGUUUUGGUUUUAACAUUUAUAUGUUGUCUCAUCACUAAUAGUCGAUUAAAAUAUAUUUAUAAAUAAUAUUUAUUUUGACAAUGUUAUGAUUUAAAAUCAAAUUUAAAUUUGAUUUUAAAAUUAAUUAUAAAAUUUAGCUUUUUAUUUUGAAAAUUUUAAAAUAUUAAAUCAAUUAAACUAUUUUAAAUCAAUUAAAUUAAAACAAAUGUGUCAAAUGUUUUAUUAAUCAAAUAUCUUAUAUAUAAAAAUUGUUAAACGACUUUGAAGUCAAAAUUAUGAUUAACUUAAUAAUUUAUUACUUCCCUAUAAAAUGAUUAAUGAUAUUAUAUAUAUAUAUAUAUAUAUAUAUAUAUAUAUAUAUAUAUAUAUAUAUAUAUAUAUAUAUAUAUAUAUAUAUAAUAUAUAUUAUAUAUAAUAUAUAUAUAUAUAGAUAAAAGAUGUUAAGUGAUCGUAAAUUUGAAGCCGAUCAGAGUUAAUUUAAUACUUUUUCAUUUUUUUUCUGGGUCCAUCGAAGGCCCAAAAUUAAAGUUCAACCGUACACAAUUUAAAUUAAGAUUAUCCACCAUGUGUUGGAGUGUUAACCUUUCAGGUCCACCACGUGUCAUCGUACCGGAGAUCGGUAUCAUUGAAUCCAGAGUCAUAUAUCAUCAAUUAACAUCAAUUCUGGUUCUAGUACGGAACAAUGACACUGUCUAAGAGGAUUGACGCCUAAUUCCCAUAAAAUUCUAAAAGGAGAUCAUUCUUGAUUCAAAGUCAGAUCUCAUCCAAAAACUUCGAGACGUGGAGAUAGUGACCUUCUAUAUCGCACUAAAGAACUUUAUUGAAUUUUUCAAUCUUGCUUCACCUUAAUUCUUAAUCAUCGAUGAGAUCCACACAAAAACAACGUUUGGCAGGAAUCUGCCAUCAUAACACCUCCUCCAAGCAACGACCGAUACCAGAUCGCAAAAGUGAGAGCUGACGCUAGGAUUUCUAGAUCGCGAGAUGGUAAAUGGAGUGUCAAAUGCGGAGUUGUUCUUAGUUAUAACAGUCAUCGUUGCAAAUUACACGACGGAAAUUCAUGUAUUGUCCUCUACAAUGGCCUGCUUGAGCGGCUAAAUAUCUGAAUGCUACAUAUUUAUCCAUACGAUGGCGAAGAUCUCCUAACCUUUAACGAUUUAGUAACUCACCUUCCUGAUAGUUUCCUGUAAGAGUUCCUUCAGUGGUAUCAUUGGUAGAUCUUUUAUGGAAAAACUAGACAUCAUGGUCUCUCCAGUUCACUUAAAGGUAACGCAUAAUAGGAGCGAAUGGAAGCCUGUUGUGAUCGACGCCGACUUGUAAGCGGCAACGCGUAUCAAAGAAGUCAUGUUCAACAACCUCUUCACCUCUUUGGUAGUGGACAAGGAAGGUUUGGGGAAAGCUAACGAUCCGAAGGGAUUUGACUCGUUUAUAAUUUGACCAGGUCUACGAAAAAAAGUCAAUAAAAGGGCACAUUCAUUACAUGGAUUCGGGAUAGUGUGGAUUUCUUCACUAUCUCCCUAUAUAAAUGUCUGAUAGAGACACCACCAUAGCAAGUCUUCGAUGAGGCACCGGUCCCAACUCGCAGUGCGUAAAAAAUGUAUUCUCUAAAGAAAAGCUAGAGUUGCAACCGACAUAUCCAAGAGGUAUAAGAUCCAAGGAUGUGAUUGACUCGGUUAGUCACAUCCAAUCAUUGUGAGUGAACAUCCACUAUAGGUAUGACCAAAUAUAUACGCUGAGAUGUGAUAUAAAGCAAACACCUAUCAUGUUCAAUUAAACCAACCAUUGGUACAUAACAAGAUGGGUAUCCCUUAAAACUAUUCAAAAUUUGAAACUACCAUAUCUCCUAACUAUAAGAAAUAUCAUGUGUGCUAACACCAUCAUAGCCUUUGGCAAGACGACAUAGACUGUGUUUAUGAAAUUGAGCCCUUCUCAGGAAUUCCUUCUGAUGGAACGUGCAUGAAGUGUAGCUGACGCAUCCCCUCGUAGGAACUAGCCACUCAAAGAGCAUAUGCGGAGGAAAUAUGAGACAUUCACCUAAAACUAGGAGAAACCAUGGGUGCAAGGACAAGAACCCGACCCUUGUUCGGGAACGGUUCCUAGUGAUGUUGGAGAACAACAUCAACUUUUAUCGAGCAGAAUCAGUGAUGAACAAAAUUAUUUGUUAUUCCAAUUCGCACUGGUCAUGAUUACAAAGUUUUGCGAACACGUUGAAUAUCACAACAAGACAUAAGACAAAUGACCUUAAAGACCUAGUGAAGAUAGCUUCAAUAGGACAAACUCCCAUUUAUAGAAACAAUCGAGUUAGAGCAUAGAAAGUGCAGAAACCAUAAAUUGGUUUGAGCCCAAAAGUCAAGCCAUCUACGAUACAAACAACAAAGUAGAAAAAAUAUGAGAAAAAUUAAAUAAAUCACAUCAUACACUGAGAAAAUAUUUAGGUGGAAAGGUAUAUAUAUAUAUAUAUAUAUAUAUAUAUAUAUAUAUAUAUANNNNNNNNNNNNNNNNNNNNNNNNNNNNNNNNNNNNNNNNNNNNNNNNNNNNNNNNNNNNNNNNNNNNNNNNNNNNNNNNNNNNNNNNNNNNNNNNNNNNNNNNNNNNNNNNNNNNNNNNNNNNNNNNNNNNNNNNNNNNNNNNNNNNNNNNNNNNNNNNNNNNNNNNNNNNNNNNNNNNNNNNNNNNNNNNNNNNNNNNNNNNNNNNNNNNNNNNNNNNNNNNNNNNNNNNNNNNNNNNNNNNNNNNNNNNNNNNNNNNNNNNNNNNNNNNNNNNNNNNNNNNNNNNNNNNNNNNNNNNNNNNNNNNNNNNNNNNNNNNNNNNNNNNNNNNNNNNNNNNNNNNNNNNNNNNNNNNNNNNNNNNNNNNNNNNNNNNNNNNNNNNNNNNNNNNNNNNNNNNNNNNNNNNNNNNNNNNNNNNNNNNNNNNNNNNNNNNNNNNNNNNNNNNNNNNNNNNNNNNNNNNNNNNNNNNNNNNNNNNNNNNNNNNNNNNNNNNNNNNNNNNNNNNNNNNNNNNNNNNNNNNNNNNNNNNNNNNNNNNNNNNNNNNNNNNNNNNNNNNNNNNNNNNNNNNNNNNNNNNNNNNNNNNNNNNNNNNNNNNNNNNNNNNNNNNNNNNNNNNNNNNNNNNNNNNNNNNNNNNNNNNNNNNNNNNNNNNNNNNNNNNNNNNAUAUAUAUAUAUAUAUAUAUAUAUAUAUAUAUAUAUAUAUAUAUAUAUAUUAUUCAGGUAAAGUUACAACACCACACUAAUAAUACAGAUAAAAUAAUAAAAUAGAAAGAAAGAAAAUCAAGCCCACCAUCCUGAGGCGCUACGUCGAGAUUUUCCAUCAACGCACUAUCUUGAACGACCUUGAACAGGUCAAGUUGUGAGCGGGGAGCGGUGAUGUCUGGGCAAAGAGAUUCCACCUGGUUAGUAGCCUAUUCGAAGGCCCCGUGCGCUUUAUUAAGUGUCUGCAAGAAGGAGUCGUGAACUUUUUUCCUCAACUCAGUCACCCAAUCAUCAUGAACUUCACAGUUUUUAGCUCGAGAUUCCUUAUCCUGGUGAAGAGCUUUCAAAGCCUCGUCGACAAAGGAUUUUAUGUCUACAACAACAGUGGCUGCCUUCGUUUGAGUUUCCUCUAUACCACUAGGAAGGAUUCGAUUUUGGCAAUCCGGACGGCCAAAGAAAAAGGGGAGGCAUGAAUCUUCGCCUCCUCUUGGAUAACCUCAGCAUGGCUAACCUUCUUCUAAAAGGCAUACAUAGCCUCUUAAAUCUUAGACCAUUUCUACUCCAUAGUUUAACACUUCCUUUUUCAAGUAUCCAUCUCCUUAAAAGAAUUUCCCAUGACCGAACAUCACCCAAACCAGCAGCGCAAGGAAGAAUAAAAAAAUCGUCAGAUCGAUGUAAAAGGUGGCUUCAAAAAGGAAAAAAUUAUAUAUUUUCCGCCUUAGAGAAAUUCUAAACAUAUAACACUAACAUAACAAAAAGACAAGACAAAACUAACUAUUAUGAUAUCUUAAUACUUUACAUUGCAAAUUGUUCCAAGAACUAGAUUUUGUUGUAAAACUAUAUAGUUUUGUUUAUGCCUCUGAAGAUCACCUAUAUGAUUAAGAGUUGUAUAGGGUGGUUGUAAAAAAAAUUGGUAUUAUAUUUACAAGUUAAUUUCAAAACAAAACAUGAUAAGUUUAAAUUAGUUUUUACUUCAUUUUUAAAACCAUAAAAAUAUAUUUUAUAAUUUAGGUUUUGGUUUUAACAUUUAUAUGUUGCCUAGUUUAAAUUAAUUUUUAUUUAAUUUUUAAAACCAUGAAAGUUUAUUUUAUAAUUUAGGUUUUGGUUUUAUCGUAUUUAUAUGUUGUCUAAUCACUACGAGUGAAUUAAAGUAUAUUUAAUUAAUAAUUAUUUUAAAGUUCUCAAGAUUUAAAAUCAAAUCUAAUUUUGAUUUUAAUUUUAUUUAAUUAGUUAAAAAAAUAUUUAUUUUUUUAAAAUAUAAAAUCAAUUAAACUGUUUUAAAUCAAUUGAAUUAAAAUAAAUAUGAGGUCAUUUUUCUCUAUUUUUUGUAUCGAAAAUCGAUGAGACGUCUAUUUUUUCUAUAUUUUUUAUGAUUAAAUAUGUAUGUAAUCUCAUUUAGUAUAUCAAAAAUUAUUUUUAAUUUCUUAAACUAUUUUUUUUCAAACAUUUGUAUUGAAAAUCAAUGAGACUUCUAUUUUUUCUAUGUUUCAUAUGAUUCACUGAUGGUCGUUUGCCACUCCAAAAUUCUUUAGUAACCUCAUUCUUCAACUUCUUGGUAGGGCGUCUGUUCAGUGGAAACAACUUCACCCCAUAAGGAUUUUGGCAAAUUCUUCUGCUUCAGCAUGCAUCUUUCCAUAUCCAAUAUGGUUUUGUUUCUUCUUUCUGCUAUUCCAUUAUGUUGAGGUGUGUACGGAGCAGUUACCUCAUGAUCAAUACCAUGUUCUGCACAGAAUUAGUCAAACAUCUUGGAUGUGUAUUUGCAACCUCCAUUUGUUUGCAAAACUAUGAUCUUCUCACUAUAGUUUUCGACAAGCAUCUUGAAUCUCUUAAAGAUUUCGAAUACUUCGUCCUUUCGCUUGAUCACAUAGAUCCACAAUUUUUGACUAAACUCAUUGAAAAACUAAACAAAAUACGUGUUUCCACCAAUGUUAUGCUCCUCAAAAGGAUCACAUACAUCUGAAUGUACAACUUCGAGUAUGCAAGAGGAUCUCAUUGGCAUAGUCAAAACGAAAGACUUUUUGGAUUGCUUUCCGACUAGACAACAUUCACUGAGUUUGUCAGGCAUCUCCAGACUUGGUAUACCAAUUACCAUAUAUUGAGUAAUCAAUUGAUUGAGUGAUCGAAAGUUCAAAUUUCCAAACCUCAAAUGCCACAACCAAUUACGCUUGUGGUCAACAACAAUUUUUAGACAUUGUACUUCAGUCGAACUGAUCAUGGUCUUGAAUGUCAUACUCUUCGGUAAAGGGGAUUUCAAAACCAAAUUAUUUUAGGCUUCAUCUUUCAUAAUCACUCAUAAACCUUUUUCGACCAGUUAUCCAACACUUAGCAUAUUACACUUAAUUCUAGAUACAUAGAGUACAUAUUUGAUCAUAGUUUUUCCUCCAUUGCUCCUUUGAAUAACUAUGUCGCUGGUACCUUAUACUUGCAACGAGCUAUUAUUAGCCAGUUUAACCUUGAUCUUCUUCGACAAAUCGAAAUCUAUUAACCACACUUUUAGACCAGCCAUGUGAUUCGAGUAGCCUGAGUCGAGGAACCAGAUCUUGGAGUCGAUAUGGUCCUCUAUAAUUGCAGACAUGACCAUCAUAUCAUCAUAAUCAUCUGAAUCUUGGUGUGCAAGGUUCGCUUUUUCCAUCUUGCCUUUUUUCGCUCUCUUGUCUUUAUUGUACCAACAAUUCUUGGCCACGUGACCCCAUUUUCCGUAGUUAUAGCACCGCACACCUUUUUUCUCUUUAUCUUUUUGAUAAAAGUUUCCUUCUCCUAUUUUUGAGGAUUCAAAAGCCCUAUCAUCGAUCUUAUGCUUUUGAGGAUUCAACCAAGACUUCUUGCUCUAAGUCUUAUCUCUUAUCUCCUUUUCCUUUGGACUUGUUGGAAACAUCAUGCUUCUUCCAAGCUUGAGCCUGCAAUGCUUGUAUCGAAUCUUGAACCCAUUUCCUUUUAACAAUCCUAAUCUCAUGCGCCUCUAAUGAACCAACCAAAUCUUCUAGUUUCAUGGUUUCAAGAUUGUUGGAUUUUUGAAUAGAUACAAUAAUGUGAUUAAAGUGAGAGGUCAACGUACAUAUUACCUUCUCAACAAUCAUCUUAUCAGUUAGGGUUUUACCAUAACACUUCAUGAGAUAGACGAGAUUCUUCACUUUCGACACAUAGCCUAUAAUCUUUUCAUCUUCUCCCAUCUGCAGCAAUUCAUACGAUCGUCACAAAUUCUACAAUUUGAUGACUUUAACUUUCUCACCUCCUUCAUAGUACUUAACAAGAAAAUCCCAUGCCUCAUUCGCCAAUUCAAAAUGAGAGAUCUUAUCGAAAUUCGCCGAAUCUACCGCCGAUUGAAUGCAAUACGCAACCUUGCAAUCUUUCUUCUUCGCCUCCUUGUGCGCGAUUCUCUGAGCAUUAGUUGCAUUCUCAGCAAGCUCAGGGAUGCCAUUAGUAACCACUUCUUAGGUUUCAUGAAAGCCAAAAAAGGAUUGCAUCUGUUUUCUCCAUCGGAUCCAAUUCUUGCCUUCAAGAAUUGGAGGAGAAUUCAGAAUGUCAUUCAUACCAUUCAUCUUUGAAGCUAUUUAUUAACAGCCCAUGAUCCCGGAAACACGCCCAACGACAUGUGAUUCUUGAAAACACAAUCAAGAAUCUAGUCGGAGCUCUAGAUACCAAUUUGUUAGUGCAUGAAGCAUUUUUUUAGGAGAGAAAUGAUCCCGGAAACACGCCCAACGACAUGUGAUUCUUGAAAACACAAUCAAGAAUCUAGUCGGAGCUCUAGAUACCAAUUUGUUAGUGCAUGAAGCAUUUUUUUAGGAGAGAGAGAGAGAGAGAGAGAGAGAGAGAGAGAGAGAGAAUAUGAAAAUAAUGAUUACUAUUAUUAAAGAAUGAUUGUGUUACAAACUGAUUUACAUAUGCAUGUAUUUUAUAUGCAAAGUUACUUGACUACUAAGUAACAAACCCUAAACCCUAAUUGACUUUGAGCUUAGACCACACACAAUUUAGAUUAUAUCUUAUAUCUCAACAAAUACAAGAAUGUAAAAUAGGAUGAGAAAUAAGGGAACAUAUAUCUUUUUCAUAAAAAAACUUCCAUAUUUAUCCUUAUUUUAUGUAUGCGAAUUCCUGCUGUAAUUAGCAUGAAAAAGUGGAAAUUUGUGUUAACUAAUUGAGGUUAUAAUGGUUAACCGAUGAUUUAAAGAUCAUAUCAAAUCGGUCCAUUCAAACGAUUAGUUCAAUUUGAUUUUUUAUUUAUUAAUAUUUUUUAAAUGUGUGUGUGUGUGUGUGUGUGUGUGCGCGCACGCGUGUGUGCGCGUGUGAUUUGGGAGGACACACGUAUCAGUGUUACACAUCCAUUUACUUUCCACUCGGCCAAUUUUUACUAUUUAAUAAUAAUAUGCAAUAUCUAUAUAUAAAUAAAACUUAAUAUUUUAAAUCGGGGGCCAUGGCCACCCCUGUCCCAACGCGGCUCAGCCAUUGAGUCACAAUCAAAUACUCACUAGAGCCUGUUUUUCCCAUGUUUUUUAGGAAGUGGACCAAGGUUUUAAACUCGCGUCCUCUAAUGUGUCUACACCUUCCCACCGUAUUUUUUUGUGAGGAUUUGUGCGAAUGUGCGGCCCCGGCCCCGCCCCACCCUCAUUUUGUUUGCAAGGCGAGUCAAGGUUUAAGCCUUGGUGUUUUUUGCCAACAAUCUCUACCCUUCCUAUGAGAGGGUUACUUGUAGGACCGAGUACAAAGUUCUGGACUUAGUGUUGAGUGUAUAAUAGUUUAGUAGGCAAUGUCUUUGGAAUGUUUAAAAAGGGGUGAAUAUAACUCUUGGUGAGUUUGAAGUGCAGUAAAGUAAACGCAAUAAAAGACAAAAAUCUGAUGAAAGUAAAGGAAAUAAAGUAAAGACAAUUUGGUAAGUUUAAAUAACUGAUGAAUAUAAAUGGAGGAAAAUGUACAUUUUCUAUAGGGAGAUGACUCUUUUCUCAUAAACGCUUUGGUACUUCAAGUGUACUCCUACUUGCAAAUGCUAAAAAUGCCACCUUUGAAAUGAUCCCUAACACUUGCUUAAAUACUAAUAAAAAGUAACCGUCAGGAGGUUACGAGCCUAUCUUGAGAUGACAUAUGUCGGCCCACUUCUCCCAUAUACAUAAAUAAUUGCCCACGUUUCGGCCACCCACGAUCACUCCUCAUCAUGAAGAUACCCUUCGACUUAGACUGACUCUUUUGAUGUUGACCCAUGGAUUGUCCAAUUUCUCGUCGACCUCAUAUUUCGACGGACUUUCUAGUCGAGUAUGCUUUACCUUCUUUGGCUGAAAUUUGUCAGCUAACAAAUUUCCCCCUAAAAAGGCUGGUUUCCACUUGAGCUCGUCGAUCGAGGAACUUGCCUUUUGAUUAUUUAAAUUUCGACUAUCCGUCUUAUCAUUAAUUAUGGUUUAAGGUGUGAUGAUGAUUUUCCUGCAGCGCAGUUCCCUAGACAUUCCACCAUCAUUAUCAUUUAUCCUUAGAUCGUGGGAUUUCAGCUGAACCCACUAACUCUCUCACUACUUCUUCGUUAGACACUUGUCAAUCGAUUAGUGUCUGACUGUUCACCUUGCUAGCUUAUAAAUAGCUAUUUCUUCAUCGUCCAAGGUUUUCUGCUUCCAUAACCGCGCCUUCUCCUUGCACAUUUCUUCACAACUUUUGUAGUGAAACUGUCACCCAAGAAACUCCAAACUCAUCCUAUUUUCUUCAUCCCUUAAUGGCUUCUUCUUCCCACAUCAAAGAAAUUACUUCCUACGCCACUGGAAAUAACCCCAUUUCCUUUAAAAUUAAUGCCAAAGAAAGUAUGAACUACAUUCCUCAACCUGCUUCUUCUGAUGAAGCAGUGGUGAAGAAAUGGCAACGUCAGAUGUUGAUUCCAUUCAUGGUCGAUGGGAAACUGUUUGCGUUUCAUGGGCCUCUCGUGGAGCCAAAAUCUUCACCGAAAGUCGUUGCAGCUUUUUUCCCUGGAUAUGCACCUGCUGCUCCUCCCGCCUUCGACAAGUCCUCGUACUCGACGUUAGAUUCAUAGAGGCUAAAGCCAGAGUCUUCAGAUCCAUGCCUACUCCUAGCAACAAAGAGUAUCUGGCGUGGCUUAACAAGGUUAAGAGGAAACGCCAAGAUCAAUGGAGGAGUGCAGAGAUCUUCGACUUUAUUCAAAUAUUGAGGUAUGCCCAUCGCGUUAAUCCCUGUAUGUUACUAGCUUCUCUGUACUUCUGAGAGGGUUCGACCAACACCUUCCAGCUGCCAUGUGGGAUGCUAACACCCACACUCUUUGAUGUGGCAGCCAUCACUGGUCUUUCACCGUUGGGGGAAGUCUUCGACCCCAUACUUCCGACGGAAACUACUUUCUCGUUCAGUCGAGCCAGUCUCCAGAAUUACAUCUAGGAUCACCACAAUAAAGACUUCGUCGAGGUAUCUGAUGAAGAACACAUAGCCUUCUUCACACUAUGGCUUUCAUACUAUGUAUUUUGUCUCGACUCCUUGCAGAUAGUGAAGAGAUACAUCAACCUGGCAAUCCAAAUUCAUGAGGGUCGAUAGGUGUCUUUGGGAAAACUGCUAUUAGCCUUUUUAUAUCAGGCUUUGAGGCUUCCAACCCUGAAACUAAAACUCCUCUCUAACAUUCCUAAGGCCCCGAAUUUGUCGGGUCCCUUAUGGUUUUUACAACACUAGUUAAAUUCCACUUUCGAGUAUCAACAAGGCUAUCCCGUGUCGGAAUGCAUCGUGAGGUUAAAUGAAGAUCGGACAAUUGAAUGGGCUAGGUUGGCUUUGACAACAUGCCAAGAGACUCCUAACAAACAUAUCUUCAUGAAGUACCUGAAUAUGUUCAUCAUAGAAGAUAAGUUUGCUCCUGGCGUGGCUCCAUUUGUUGAUCGAACCUUCGGCCCAAAGUGGUUCAAAGAUCCUUUCCAGGUGGCUCUCCACAGGCUACGGCACAAUCAAACGCAAUAUGGAGAGCUUUUUUGACUCUUAUGUUGUUAUCUUACAGAAUUGAAAUAGGGCCGAAGGGAUACGGUUUCAUGAGUUAUCAACCCAAUUUGGUAGCUCUCCAGUUUGGUUAAGUCAAAUGGUUCCAAAACCUCUGGUAUCACAUGUAACCAAUACUGUAUGAUCUGGUCAAUCAUUAAAUGCCGAUGACCAUAAGGUUUGUCUUUGUUUCUGCGAAUCUACUCACCGCUAUGAACUUUCGGUGUUCAAAAUAAUCCUUUUUUACAACAAUUGAUUUUGACAAAUGGUGGGCCUCCUACCAGAGUCAUUCCUUUCCUAGUGACCAAUUUCUUCAGGAUAUGGUUGACUCUCUAUCCACCCUCGUCGAUAACAUACCACCUCCGCCACCGCCUGCUAACGCUCCCGACCACAUAAUCCAAACUGAUCAAGUCGAUGAAGCCCAAAAAAAGGUAUAUGUCACUAAUUUCAUUUCCUCUUUACCCGUGGAUGCAAAAAAAAACUGAAAGUUUCUGUUAUCAGGGUCGAAAGAGGGUCAUUCCCUUAUCUGAUCCAACUCUAGCCAAGCCUUCGAAGAAACAACGGGCGCCCUCGACUCCCAAUUCGUAGGUAUUGUGCAUCAAUAUCAUUAAAAUCUUCCACCUUAACAACUUUCAUUACCUUCUCACUUAUCUUGAAAUUCAAGUACCUGAAGAAGUACCUUUAGUCGAAAAUGAGGAAUCCGACGAUAGUGUGCAUUCGCAUAUUUUUCCAACGUCGAAGGCACCGCCCGGAACGCCCCAUACUCCUAUCCGAAGGAAAAAGGCUCAGGCCAAAAAGACUCCAUCGAAGGUGGCUCCUUCAACUUCGACCCUUGCAAUCCAAGAUGACCUCGAGGAAGCUUUAACCCCUCGUGAUUCAGAAAGGACUCCUACUGUUUCUCCAUCCCCCGUGGUCCUUCAGGUAUCCGUCCAUCUUUACCUCUACAAACUGUGGGUUUCUUUUUGUCCUGAGUUCUAAUACUUCUAUCUUCCAGGAACUCGUGGCCUCUCUAAUUCUGGCCGAAACUGUGGCCGAAGAUAAGACCGGCAAUCCCUCUGCCGACAUUGUCUUGAGUCCAUAAUGGCAAGCUAAGUUCCAAAGUGCCUCACCAGUGAUUCAACAAGAUCCUAUUUCCCCACCAACUCUAAAUCCGCCAAAUGCUGUUGACGAAAAUGUGUCCACCAAUGUUCUAACUUCGAGUGAGAUUAGGAUUAUCAAACAAUGGAACCCCACUGAGGCCGUUUGGAAACUACAACAACUUCGUCGUCGUUCGACCGAUGCGCCACCUCUGUCUUCGAUCAUUGCUCCUCCCUCAGAGCUAAAUGCUGAGGUCAUUUUCAUACUUCAACAACUUAAGGCGUCACUCUUCGAGAGAGACUUUUUACGUGCUCUUGAAAUAGAAGAAGGGUUAUCCCGUGAUAUUUUCAAAUUCCUUGACUCACUUUCCUUUCAUGAUCUUCCUACUUCAAUGGUCAAGUAUUUUGUCGAUUUUGAGGCCUUCUUCACUCAAUUUGUCAAGGAUCUUAACCUUCGUCAAAAUGCUGACCUUCAAAUCAAGAUGAAACUCAAUGAGGUAAGGCCUGAAUGGGACUCCGGUGAGGCAUGUGAGCAGAAACUCAACGAAUUUGAAACCAAAAAUAUGGAACGCCUUCGUCGACAAUAAGCCUUCGACUAGUAAAUCUCUGACUACCAAGCCCAGAUAGUUGAACUGAAUAGAAAAAUUAUUGAUGUGGAAGCGCAAAAGGCUUUCUUAGAGACGGCUGAGGAGAUUCCAGCGCAAGAGGUUGUCGACCGCGAGGUUCUAAAGGGGAUACCCAAUAGGGAAAAAAGCCCUCAAAAUUGAGGCCGAUAUCAAAUAACUGCAUGGAAAGAAGGUUUCUCUAGACAAUAGGAUUGUUCAUGAGAUAACCUCUUUUGAGGAUUUCAAAUCUAGAUUUCUCGUCUGAUCUCUUUUGUUUUCAUCCUGUAAGGUCAAUCGACCAUUUUUUGUAGCACCUUUUUGGGCCACUUAAUGAAUUAAUGAAUUUCGUCAUGUUUGGAUUUGGAUUUCUUGUAGCGUAGGUUUAUAUUUCUUUAAACAUUUCCCAUUAUCUCUCAAAACCCUUUGAUCCAUACCAAGUUCUCGGAUCUCAUAAGCAUUGUUGGUGAAUGUUCGGAUUAUCUGAAAUGGUCCCUCCUAUUUUUUAGACCAUUUUCCUAGAGUUCGAUCUCUUCGGUCCAUAGGCAGGAUUACUUUCCAAACAUAAUCAUCCAUUGUAAAGGUUUUUGCUCUUACCUUUCUGUUGUAUACUUUGGCCACACGUUCUUUCUAUCGUGUCAGUGUUUCCAUCGCAGCCAAUUUUUCUUCUCCCAAGUCGACCAGUUCGUCGAACAUCAUCUCCCAAUAUUGUUCAGACUGAAGAUCAUUCUUGCGUUGUACUCUGAUGGACUCCUAACAAAUUUCUAGUGGUAAUAUGGCAUCGUGCCCAAAUGUUAGUCGAAAAGGCGUCUAAUUUGUUGCCUCCUUUGAGGAUGUUCGACAAGCCCAUAGGAUUUGGUCCAAAGUCUUGUGCCAAUUCUUUGGCAUUUUGGAAACAUGUUUUCUAAUUAGACUUAUUAUCACUUUGUUGGCCGCUUCGACCUAGCCAUUCGCUUGUGUGUAAUAAGGUGUAGAAGUAACUAACCUAAAACCUGUUUCGACAACAAACUCUUACAUCUUUUGUCCCACAAACACCGAACCCUGAUCUGUGGUAAUGGUCUCUGAGAUGCCGAAUCGAUAUAUAAUAUGUUUUUGGACGAAUUCAAUCACCGCCUCCUGAUCCACUUUCACUAGAGGCACAACUUUGAUCCACUUAGUGAAGUAGUCUAUCCCGGCCAGGAUGAAUUUUUGUUGCUUCGAUGAGGCUGGUCGAAUCUCUCCAAUGACGUCUAACGCCCACCCCCCUAAAAGGCCAUGGCUUGAUGAUCACAUGCAAAUCACUCGCUGGCACUUGUUGAAUGCCUGCAUGCAUCUGGAAUUUAUGGCAUCCCUUGGCGAAAUCGAUACAAUCCUUCAACAUACCGGGCCAAUACACGCCUUGUCAGAACAACAACCAUUUCAUCUUGUGGCCUUCCUAGUGUGCGCCACAGGCUCCACUAUGCACCUCAGAUAUGGCCAUAUAUGCUGUCGUAUUUCCCAGACACUUAAGUAAUAAUCCUUCUGAUGUUUUCUUCGGCAAUUCAUUUCCUAGUAGCACAUAGCUCAAAGCUCUGUAUUUGAUUUUCCUAUCAGUGCUUCUGACUGGAUUCUCUAAAUAUUCCAAGAUUGGUUUUCUCCAGUCUGUUGGUGAUGAACUGUUGAUAGUGAAAACUCCAUGUCCCCAGGAAUUCUCGAAUCCAAAAUCUUUAGGACGUUCUUCGUCGAAUCAUUCAUCACAACUGCCAUUCCCGUCGAGGAUAUCUUCCCUUAGUGGUGGUGCUUCCGACACCAUCUUAUCCCGGACUUCAAUAAUAUCUUGGAAUUUCGACUUAGACAUCUUAUACCCGGAAGCGAUCUAGGCUAGAUCGCUGGCUUCUUGGUUUUCAUUUCUUGGCACAUGUUUUAUGUCAGCAACCUCAGAGUACUCCAACAGUUGUAUUGUUGUCAUAAAAUACUUCAACAAAUUUUCCUUGAUGCAUUUGUACUCGCAUGUGACCUGCUUGAUUAUCAAUUCUGAAUCUCCCCUUAACUCGAUUCUACUGGCUCCUAACUCUUUCAAGAUUCGAAGACCAGUUAUUAGGGCCUCGUACUCAGCUUCAUUGUUGGAACAUUUUUCGUUGAUCUUGCAAUUGAAUCUCGUCGGACCAUCCUGUGGGGAUGAUAUUAACACCCCGAAUCCUGUUCCAUCUUUGUGGCUUGACCCACUGAAAUAUAACCGCCACAAUUUUGUGUCAACCAUGUUUAGUGAAGGUUAGAUCAUGGCAUGAUCUACUAUAAAAUCUGCCACAAUUUGGCCCUUCAUGGCCUUUAAAGGUUUAUAUGUUAGAGAAAACUCUGUUAAAGCUAGUGCCCAUUUUCCAAUUUGGCUAUGCAGAAUAGGUUUAGACAACAUAUGGUUAAUAACAUCAUAAUGAGACGAAACAUAAACAUCAAUUGGUUUUAUAUAUUGCUUUAAUUUCAUACAGACAAAGUACAAGCAUAGGCACAAUUUCUCGAUGAGACUGUACCUAGUUUCAGCAUCUAUCAACAUUCUACUAGGUAACAUAUGGGUCUCUUAACACCAUUAAUAUCCUUUUGGGCCAACAUACUCCCUAUAGUUAUAUCCGACGUAGCAAUAUAUAAACUCAUAUUUUUUCGCCUACUAGGAGAUAACAAAAUGAGAGGCUUUAUAAGGUAACCCUUAAUGGCGUCGGAAGCCUCUUGUUGCUCUGGUCCCCAGUGAACAUCACUUUCCUUCUUAAUUUUGAGCAGUGGCGAAAGCACCUUCGUCUUACCACUUAGAUUCGAUAUGAACCAUCUUAAGAAGUUUAUCUUCCCCAACAAAGAUUGGAUCUGCUUCUUUGUCGAUGGGCUUUUGAGGUCUAAGAUCGCCUUUGUCUUGUUUUAAUUGAUCUUGAUGCCUCGUUUGUGUACCACAAACCCCAAGAAGUCUCUUGCGUGUACACUGAAAGCACAUUUUAAUGGAUUCAUUUUCAAUCCAUAUUUCCUCAUUCUAUCAAACGAGCAUCGAAGGUGAUCCAGGUGAUCUUCUUGUGAUGAAGAUUUUAUCACGAUAUCAUCAAUAUACACCUACAUAAAAUUUUCAAUGAAGUCAUGAAAUAUGCAUUCAUAGCUCUUUGAUAGGUCGCUCCUGCAUUUUUUAAACCAAACGGCAUCACGACCCAUUCGUAUGUCCCUAAAGCUCCAGGGCAUCGAAACGUUGUCUUGGGGACAUCAUCUUUAGCUAUAAGAAUUUGAUUGUAGCAAGAGUAACCAUCAAGCAUGCUCAGGUAUUGGAAACCUGUGGCCGAAUCGACCAUCAUUUUCUCCACGGGCAUCAAGUAUUCAUCCUUUGGCGUGGCGUUAUUUAGAUCUCUAAAAUUUAUACAGAUUCUAAGAGUUCUAUCUUUCUUAAUGAUGUGCACUAUAUUGGCUAACCAUUUGACGUACCUCGCAGUUCUGAUAAAGCAACUUUUGAAGAGUCUUUUGAUCUCCUACUUAAUUUUCAAGGUGAUUCCCAUAGCAAAUCAUCAAGAGUGUUGUUUCACUGGUCUUUUCCCAGGUUAGAUAGGCAGUCGAUGUCCCACAAUGCUUCGAUUUAAACUAGGCAUUUCGUUAUAAUCCCAGGCAAAACAGUCUCUGUAUUCGGUCAAUACUUCAAUCAACUUCGCCUUCAUUUCUGACCCUACCUUAGUACUUAUAUAGGUUGGUCUUUUUGUGAUCCCGUCCCCUAGAUCGGUCUCUUCGAGGGGAUCUUGUGCUUGCAUCUUCUGGGAUUCAUUUGAUGGGUUAUUUUCGAACCCAAAGGCUCAUUGUUGUAGAUGCAAUCAAGCCUCCGGCUUUCCGAAGCUAUUACUUGGUCUUGUUGAGCAUCUUUCAAUCCUUCGGCCUCACAGGCCAAAUUUUGAAGCCUCUUCUUUUCCAGAAUCGACUUUCUCUUGUUUUAAGCCAAAUAGGACAAAAUUCGAGCCAAACUUUCUGACUCAGCAGUCAUCUUCAUCGACUGCAGGCCAUCCUGUAGGUGGAAUUCCCGUCUCUGAUCCAGUGUCUUCCUCAUUAUCCCAUAUGAAACCAUGAUCAGGGUCUAAGUGUUGGUGUAAGCCCUAGAGGCCAAUACUUUUGGUACUUGUAUUGAAUUAUUUAUUAAUAAUAAAAGGCUUUUUCUUUAUUACGGUUGUUUAAUAAAGUCCCUGGAAUAGAUAGUUCGUUUAAUGUAUCAAGUGUGACUUGAUCAUGAGAACACAUUAAACAUAAGGACACUAUUCUUAAAGUAUCCGUAGUCGAGCUUUAUUGUGAAGUGGGAUAACAUUAAAGCAUUAAGACUAUUAUGUUUGUAGACUGAUGAUCACAUCUCAUGGAUCAUGGAUAAAGAGUUAUCAAGUCUUAAACAUAGGUAUGAAUAUUAAGAGUAAUAUUUAUACCGGAUUGACCCGCUAUGAGAAUACUAUAUAGAAAGUUAUGCAAAGUGUCAUAAGUUAUUCUCAUGGUGAUAAUAGUGUAUUCCACUCUUCGACCUGAAACCACUAUGGAUCCUAGAUGUAGAGUCGAGUGCUUUAUUGCUGAUCCAACGUUGUCCGUAACUGGAUAACCAUAAAGACAGUUGAUGGGUACUCCACGAAGCAUGCUGAGGGACAUGAGUGACCUAGAUGGAAUUUGCCCAUCCUGCGUAACAGGAUAAAUGUCUAUGGGCCCAAUAUUGAACUGGACAAGGAUGACACGGUCUAUGCCUUGUGUUCAAUAUAGACAUAAGGGCAAAAGGGUAAUUAUACACAUAAUUAUUAUCACAGAAGGUUUUGUCAGAUCACAUGACAUUUUCGUGUCUUGGGUAGCAGUGAUGUGUUGCUAGAUACCGCUCACUGUUUAUUAUGUUAAAUGCGUGAUUUAAUAUAAUUGCCAACGUCACGAAAACCUACAGGGUCACACACAAAGGACGGAUUGAUGAGAGAUAGAGUAACUAAGGAAUACCGUAAGGUACGGUGCCCUUAAGUGAAUUAUAGAACAUCGUAAGGUACGGUGUACUUCAGUAGAAUACGAAAUAUGGUAAGAUACCAAAUGCUUAAGUGAUUUUGGGCAUAUUAUAAGAUAUGGGCCAAAAUACACUUAAGUGGGCUUUUUAGCUUGAAGCCCACACAAGUGGUUCUAUAAAUAGAACCCCUUGGGUAGAAGCAUUGUCACUCCAAUCCACUCAGACAGAAAUUCAAGUAGAGACUUGGAAUUUUGUUUCCCUCUUUCUCUCACUCAAAGCCUUCAUUCAUAACAGCUAGCACUGCGAUUGAAGGAAUCCGUUCGUGUGGACUGAGUAGAGACGUUGUCAUCGUUCAACGUUCGUGAUCGCCCCGUGGAUCUGUAUCAAAGGUUUUGAUCAUUAUCAGAGAUCUGCACCAAAGGUUUGAAUCGCCACAAGAGGUAACGAUUCUAUCACUGAUCAUGCCCAUUCGUAAGGAUCACUAAAUGGAGAAAUUUUUAAAUUCCGCUGCGCCUUGGAUGGCAAUUCUCCUUCAGUGGUAUCAGAGCCACUUACGAAACCAUGAAUCUGAUAACUGUUUUUGUUCUGUAAUAAUAUGAUUAAAGACAGAAUGAAUCAAAGGUUAAAUUGAGAUCGAUCAAGUUACAUAUAUGUGAUAUAUGUAAUCCUGAUGCAAAAUACAUUAUAUAUGAUAUAGUGUUCUCGUUUCGUUCAUUCAAACCCUCAAUGAUUGUUUUCCUUUGAGCGAUCAAUGGUCGUUUGCUUCUUGAUCCGACAUUAGUAUGGUGAAGCAAUGACGUGUUGAUCAAUCAUACUGAAUUAACAAUCGAGAUGUGUUUGACGGUCUGAAAUUGGUGCAUCAGGGUUAGUGACGGCACAAGGGUUGUGUUGUCAGAGAGUUAUGCGAUUGGGGUUGUGACUGCACAAGAGUUGUGCUUUCUAAACACUUUUUCGAACAGUGUUAACCGGUUAACGCAUAUGGUUAACCGGUUAACGGAAUGCGAAAUAAAUUUUUUGAGAUUUUCAAACAGUGUUAACCGGUUAACGCAUUUGGUUAACCGGUUAACGCAAGGCGGAAAACAGUUUUCCAAGAAAUUUUCAAACAGUGUUAACCGGUUAACGCAUAUGGUUAACCGGUUAACGCAAGGCAGAAAAGAAUUUUCUAAAAGUUUUCAAACAGUGUUAACCGGUUAACGCAUAUGGUUAACCGGUUAACGCAAGGAAAAAUUCACCCGUUCGGCUAGAAAAAGUGCUUUGAAGUAUCAAGUGUUGAUACGAAAAACGACGUCAAUUUUAAAUGAAUUGUUCAUUAAAAUUUUCGAGCAGGGGCGCUGCCCCCUUGACCCCUGUCCGCUGAACGGUCAGCGGAACCACCGUCCGCUGACCGGGCAGCGGAACACCCGUUCCCGCUGACCGGGCAGCGGACCCCCGGCUAACUCUGCGUAGUGUGAUCGGUCGUCGAAAUUUAAUUUGAUUUUAAUUAAUUAAAGGAAUUAAUAAUAAUAAUAAUAAAGUGUUUAUUAUUGUCUUGUGGUGAUCGGUUAUGGCCUUAGUUUUCCUUUGUUUUGUUUUGGGUUUUUAAAAUACGACCUGCGUGUCGUGCCUCUCUCUUAAUCUCCUUAAUGUAACUUCUUUUCUCAUCUCACUCCCUCGUAUGUAAAACGAGUUUCUUUUAUGUAAUGUAAUGUUAUGAAGAAAGAGAAGAAUUCAAUAUCAAAGGAGGACAACCUUGAAGAUCUUGCUUGGAGAAGCUUAGAUCGUUAUUAGGUUAGCUUAGGUUCUCUCAUUGGCUUGGGAGAACAAUUGCGCUAGGGGCCAUAACUGUUUCAUUUUGUUUGUAUGUAUGUUGAUGCAUGUGAAUGUAUGUUGAUGCAUGUGAGAGACGAUUUAUAUGAUAAACAAGUCGGUGAGAUAAGAAUUAUUGUAAAUUCCCUCAAAUAAAAUAUUAAGUUUAUGCUUUCCAAGUUUUAGCACUCAUCAAGACUAGUAUCGGAUAAUGUAGGUUUCGCCAAAGCGAGGUGCAUGUUCUAUAUUAGUAAGGUGCGAUGGGAUAAUUGUAAUAUCCAACUGCUAAAACGAUGGGUCAAACUUAAUUAUAAUAAUAUUAUAUAUGUUUAGAAGCAAGAGUUGGGAAUGAUCCAUAUGAUGGAUUGGAAUAAGGAGUUAUUCACCCAACUGAAAUUUUCGAGAGUUGUAUGAGAUACAAUUGGAAGGAGUUCCUACCUAAAUAACCUAGUUUUGUGUAAUCCGCCUACGCGGACUUAGAACGAAGUGAAAUAUGGAUCUCGACCCACUAGAAAAUCUUCCAACGGGAUUUUCCGAAUCAAAUGAUGAGGGUCAUUUGUUUUGAGUAAAAUAGUGGGAGCAUAUUUAAUUAAAGGCCUAAUUAAAUAUGUCAAUGAUACUUAUAUUUUCAUUAAUUCUUAUGUAGAUUACCAUGACAACAAACACCUCUAACAACAUCUUGCGAUCAAUCCUUGACAAGGAAAAAUUGUCUGGGACAAAUUUUCUGGAUUGGCACCGAAACCUGAGGAUUGUCCUCAAACAUGAUAAAAAGCUGUAUGUCUUGGAGAAACCUGUUCCUGAAGAGGAACCUCCUAGUUCUGCACCUAAGGCAGAAAGAGAUGCUUAUAAGAAGCAUGUCGAUGAUGCCAAUGAAACUGCUUGUCUCAUGCUAGCUACCAUGAACUCAGAGUUGCAAAAGCAACAUGAGAACAUGGCAGCGUUCGAUAUGAUCGAACACCUGAAGAUGCUCUAUCAAGAGCAAGCAAGGCAUGAAAGGUUUGAAGUUUCAAAAGCCCUUUUUCAAGGCAAGUUAGCUGAGGGAGCCCCUGUAGGUCCCCAUGUGCUCAAGAUGAUUGGGUAUGUGGAAAACCUUGAGAGGUUGGGUUUUCCCCUCGGAAAGGAACUUGCGACUGAUUUGAUCUUGCAAUCGUUGCCAGAUAGAUUCAGUCAAUUUGUCCUAAAUUUCAAUAUGAAUGAUAUGGACAAAUCUCUUCCUGAACUGCUAGCCAUGUUAAGAACUGCUGAGCAGAAUCUGAAGUCAAAAGGGAAGUCCAUUCUGAUGAUCGGAAAUGGAAAGAGACAGAACAAAAGGCCCACCAAGCAGGGUGAUAAAGGGAAAGGCAAGGAAGUUGCCAAACCCAAACCCACCGUUGCUGCUUUGAAGCCUAGUGGAGGCAUAGCAAAAGAAGGCACCUGCUUCCAUUGCGGUAAGACCGGACACUGGAAGAGAAACUGCCCAAAGUACCUGGAAGAUAAGAAGAAUGGAGUAGAGACUUCAACUUCAGGUAUUUUUGUUAUUGAAAUUAAUUUAUCUACUUCUGCAUCAUGGGUAUUAGAUACUGGAUGCGGUUCUCACAUUUGUACCAAUGUGCAGGGGCUAAAAAGGAGUAGAGAUUUGGCAAAAGGUGAAGUUGACCUACGAGUUGGCAAUGGAGCAAAGGUUGCUGCUUUAGCCGUAGGAACUUAUGUAUUGACUUUACCUAGUGGUUUAAUAAUUCAGUUAGAGAACUGUUAUUAUGUACCUGCAAUUAGCAGGAAUAUUAUUUCCGUUUCUUGUUUGGACAAGUUUGGUUUUUCAUUUAUAAUAAAGAACAAUUGUUGCUCAAUUUAUUUGAAUGAUAUAUUCUAUGCUACUGCACAAAUGAACAAUGGACUAUAUGUCCUUGAUCUUGAAAUGCCUAUUUAUAACAUUAAUACUAAAAGGAUGAAACCUAAUGAGUUAAAUCCAACUUACCUUUGGCAUUGUCGAUUAGGCCACAUAAAUGAGAAACGCAUUUCCAAACUCCAUAAAGAUGGACUCUUGGACUCUUUUGAUUAUGAAUCAUAUGAGACAUGCAGAUCUUGUUUAAUUGGAAAGAUGACAAAGUCUCCAUUCACAGGAAAAGGUGAAAGAGCUAAUGAUCUUUUGGCCCUCAUACAUACUGAUGUAUGUGGACCACUGAACAUACCAGCCAGAGGAGGUUUUCAGUACUUCAUCACAUUUACUGAUGAUUUCAGUAGAUAUGGUUAUGUGUAUUUAAUGAAACACAAAUCAGAGUCCUUUGAAAAGUUCAAGGAAUUCAAGAAUGAAGUACAAAACCAACUAGGUAAGAAUAUUAAAACUCUUCGAUCAGAUCGAGGUGGUGAGUAUUUAAGCCUAGAGUUUGAUGACCAUCUGAAAGAGUGUGGGAUCCUAUCCCAACUUACUCCUCCUGGAACACCCCAAUGGAAUGGUGUAUCUGAGAGAAGAAAUCGAACCCUGUUAGACAUGGUCCGAUCCAUGAUGAGUCACGCCGAUCUUCCAAACUCCUUUUGGGGACAUGCACUAUUGACAGCAGCUUACACACUUAACCGUGUUCCAUCCAAAAAGGUUGAGAAGACACCAUAUGAGAUAUGGAGUGGUAAGAAACCACAUAUGUCUUACAUGAAGAUUUGGGGUUGCGAAGUUUAUGUGAAACGACAAAUUUCAACUAAGCUUGAGCCCAAAUCUGACAAAUGCUUAUUUGUGGGGUAUCCUAAAGAAACAAGAGGGUAUUACUUCUACAAUCCUUCUGAGGGCAAAGUGUUUGUCGCUCGAACUGGAGUUUUCCUAGAAAAGGAUUUUAUUUCCAAAGGAAUCAGUGGGAGGAAAGUAGAGCUUGAAGAAAUUCAAGAAUCACAAAGCAUCGAUACACCUAUGGAGGAAUUAGAGCAGGAAACACAAGUAGUUGUGGAAGAGCAACCUGCUCAAGUAGAACAAGACCAGCGUAGGUCAAGCAGGAUACGUCACCUACCUGAGAGAUAUGGAUAUCUCAUAACUGAUCAAGGUGAUGUAUUACUCAUGGAUCAAGAUGAGCCUGUGACCUACCAAGAGGCCAUAACUGGUCCCGAGUCUGAGAAGUGGCUAGAAGCCAUGAAAUCUGAAAUGGAUUCCAUGUACACAAACCAAGUUUGGACCUUGGUAGAGCCUCCUGUAGGAGUUAACCCUAUAGGAUGCAAGUGGGUCUUCAAAAAGAAGACUGACAUGGAUGGUAAGGUACAUACCUAUAAGGCAAGACUGGUUGCAAAAGGAUAUAAACAAAUUCAUGGGGUUGACUAUGAUGAAACCUUUUCACCAGUUGCAAUGCUUAAAUCUGUUCGGAUUUUACUUGCUAUCGCUGCAUAUCAUGAUUAUGAAAUAUGGCAGAUGGAUGUCAAAACUGCUUUCCUUAAUGGGAAUCUUCUUGAGGAUGUGUACAUGACACAGCCUGAAGGAUUUGACAUACCAGAAGAAGCCCAAAAGAUAUGUAAGUUACAAAGAUCAAUCUAUGGAUUGAAGCAAGCUUCCAGAAGCUGGAAUCUUCGUUUUGAUGAAACAGUAAAACAAUAUGGAUUCAUCAAGAACGAAGAUGAGCCUUGUGUCUACAAGAAGGUUAGUGGGAGCAUGAUCGUUUUCCUGGUAUUAUAUGUAGAUGACAUAUUACUCAUUGGAAACGAUAUCCCUACCCUACAACAAGUAAAGUCUUGGUUGGGGAAAUGCUUUUCUAUGAAGGACCUAGGUGAAGCAGCCUAUAUAUUAGGAAUCAGAAUCUAUAGAGAUAGAUCACAAAAACUGCUUGGCCUAAGUCAGAGUACAUACAUAGACAAAGUGCUGAGACGCUUUAAUAUGCAUGAUUCCAAGAAAGGAUUCAUACCUAUGCAACAUGGCCUGUGUCUAUCAAAAACACAAUCCCCUUCAACUAAGGAAGAAAGGGAUCGCAUGAAUAAGAUUCCAUAUGCAUCUGCAAUAGGAUCUAUCAUGUAUGCCAUGUUAUGUACUCGACCAGAUGUCUCGUAUGCUUUAAGUGCAACGAGUAGGUACCAAUCUGAUCCUGGUGAUGCUCAUUGGGUAGCUGUCAAGAAUAUCCUUAAGUAUUUGAGAAGGACUAAGGACUCAUUCUUGAUAUAUGGAGGUCAGGAAGAGUUGGCUGUAAUUGGAUACACCGAUGCUAGCUUCCAGACAGAUAAGGAUGACUUUAGAUCGCAAUCUGGUUAUGUGUUUUGCUUAAACGGUGGCGCUGUGAGCUGGAAAAGUUCAAAGCAAGAUACAGUUGCUGAUUCUACAACCGAGGCCGAGUAUAUUGCUGCCUCAAGUGCAGCAAAGGAAGCUGUUUGGAUCAAAAAGUUCAUUAGUGAACUUGGCAUAGUCCCUAGCAUUGUGGAUCCCAUUGGUCUCUAUUAUGAUAACAAUGGUGCUAUCGCACAAGCUAAGGAGCCUAGAUCUCACCAACGAUCCAAACACAUACUUAGGCGUUAUCAUCUCAUUCGAGAGAUAAUAGAUAGAGGAGAUGUGAAAAUAUGUAAAGUACCUACACUUGACAAUAUAGCUGACCCACUGACAAAGCCUCUUGCGCAGCAGAAGCAUGAUGGCCAUACUAGAUCAAUGGGCAUACGGGGUAUGCCUGAUUGGCUCUAGUGCUAGUGGGAGAUUGUUGGUGUAAGCCCUAGAGGCCAAUACUUUUGGUACUUGUAUCGAAUUAUUUAUUAAUAAUAAAAGGCAUUUUCUUUAUUAUGGUUGAUUAAUAAAGUCCCUGGAAUAGAUAGUCCGUUUAAUGUAUUAAGUGUGACUUAAUCAUGAGAACACAUUAAACAUAAGGACACUAUUCUUAAAGUAUCCGUAGUCGAGCUUUAGUGUGAAGUGGGAUAACAUUAAAGCAUUAAGACUAUUAUGUUUGUAGACUGAUGAUCACAUCUCAUGGAUCAUGGAUAAAGAGUUAUCAAGUCUUAAACAUAGGUAUGAAUAUUAGGAGUAAUAUUUAUACCGGAUUGACCCGCUAUGAGAAUACUAUAUAGAAAGUUAUGCAAAGUGUCAUAAGUUAUUCUCAUGGUGAUAAUAGUGUAUACCACUCUUCGACCUGAAACCACUAUGGAUCCUAGAUGUAGAGUCGAGUGCUUUAUUGCUGAUCCAACGUUGUCCGUAACUGGAUAACCAUAAAGACAGUUGAUGGGUACUCCACGAAGCAUGCUGAGGGACAUGAGUGUCCUAGAUGGAAUUUGCCAAUCCUGCGUAACAGGAUAAAUGUCUAUGGGCCCAAUAUUGAACUGGACAAGGGUGACACGGUCUAUACCUUGUGUUCAAUAUAGACAUAAGGGCAAAGGGGUAAUUAUACACAUAAUUAUUAUCACAGGAGGUUUUGUCAGAUCACAUGACAUUUUCGUGUCUUGGGUAGCAGUGAUGUGUUGCUAGAUACCGCUCACUGUUUAUUAUGUUAAAUGCGUGAUUUAAUAUAAUUGCCAAUGCCGCGAAAACCUAUAGGGUCACACACAAAGGACGGAUUGAUGAGAGAUAGAGUAACUAAGGAACACCGUAAGGUACGGUGCACUUAAGUGGGAGACGAAAUAUGGUAAGGUACCAAAUACUUAAGUGAUUUUGGGCAUAUUAUAAGAUAUGGGCCAAAAUACACUUAAGUGGGCUUUUUAGCUUGAAGCCCACACAAGUGGUUCUAUAAAUAGAACCCCUUGGGUAGAAGCAUUGUCACUCCAAUCCACUCAGACAGAAAUUCAAGUAGAGACUUGGAAUUUUGUUUCCCUCUUUCUCUCACUCAAAGCCUUCAUUCAUAACAGCUAGCACUGCGAUUGAAGGAAUCCGUUCGUGUGGACUGAGUAGAGACGUUGUCAUCGUUCAACGUUCGUGAUCGCUCCGUGGAUUUGUAUCCAAGGUUUUGAUUGUUACAAGAGAUCUGCACCAAAGGUUUGAAUCGCCACAAAAGGUAACGAUUCUAUCACUGAUCAUGCCCAUUCGUAAGGAUCACUAAAUGGAGAAAUUUUUAAAUUCCGUUGCACCUUGGAUGGCAAUUCUCCUACACUAAGUUCAGAACUCAGCCAGUUUUGAUGGAAGUAUAGGAACCUGAUUCGUCAUCACAUGGCACUAUAUUCGCCAAGUAUUGGUAGAAAUAUCUCUUUGAUUAUGGCGCAGGGUAUGGAGAAACUACCCGGGUCUUUUAGUUUGGGAGGCAUGUUAUUCUGGAUUAUGGCGCUACACUCGGCAGUAAGUGUAACUGUUUCGUCAUCCUCAAUCUUUUUCUUAUUGGAUAGAAUUUCCUUAAGAAAUUUGGCAUAGGAGGGCAUUUGUGUGAUGGCUUCUGUAAAGGGUAUCGUAAUGUUUAAUUGCUUCAGAAGCUCAACAAAUUUCCUAAAUUGAUUCGCAGUUUUAGAACUUUUUAGUCUUUGAGGAUAUGGAAUGGGUGGUUUAUAAGGAGGUGGAGGCACAUAAGGUUUCUCUUUCUCUUUGGCCUCCUGGGUAUUAUCCUCUGUUUCCUUUGGUUCAUUCACCUGCUCAGUUGAGGUUUUAUCUGGUUUUUGGUACAUGGCAGGGUUUUGGAGUCUCGGAUCUACGGGUCUGUAAGACCCUAAUUUUGACCCUAAGAUCCCUCAUGGCAUCAUAACAUUGCAUUUGCAUAGCCUCAAGGAUCAUAAGCAUCUUGGUUCCCUUUGCCUUUGGGUGGGACCUCUUGUGAGUGGUUUGAGAUCACCAAGCAUGCUUGAAUUGUAUAUUAUUUCUUUUCUCAUUUUUAUUAACUCAAAAGCACAAAAAAUAUGUCACUAACAUUUCUUGUUUGUAGNNNNNNNNNNNNNNNNNNNNNNNNNNNNNNNNNNNNNNNNNNNNNNNNNNNNNNNNNNNNNNNNNNNNNNNNNNNNNNNNNNNNNNNNNNNNNNNNNNNNNNNNNNNNNNNNNNNNNNNNNNNNNNNNNNNNNNNNNNNNNNNNNNNNNNNNNNNNNNNNNNNNNNNNNNNNNNNNNNNNNNNNNNNNNNNNNNNNNNNNNNNNNNNNNNNNNNNNNNNNNNNNNNNNNNNNNNNNNNNNNNNNNNNNNNNNNNNNNNNNNNNNNNNNNNNNNNNNNNNNNNNNNNNNNNNNNNNNNNNNNNNNNNNNNNNNNNNNNNNNNNNNNNNNNNNNNNNNNNNNNNNNNNNNNNNNNNNNNNNNNNNNNNNNNNNNNNNNNNNNNNNNNNNNNNNNNNNNNNNNNNNNNNNNNNNNNNNNNNNNNNNNNNNNNNNNNNNNNNNNNNNNNNNNNNNNNNNNNNNNNNNNNNNNNNNNNNNNNNNNNNNNNNNNNNNNNAAUUUUGACCCUAAGAUCCCUCAUGGCAUCAUAACAUUGCAUUUGCAUAGCCUCAAGGAUCAUAAGCAUCUUGGUUCCCUUUGCCUUUGGGUGGGACCUCUUGUGAGUGGUUUGAGAUCACCAAGCAUGCUUGAAUUGUAUAUUAUUUCUUUUCUCAUUUUUAUUAACUCAAAAGCACAAAAAAUAUGUCACUAACAUUUCUUGUUUGUAGCUUGAGCAUUCAUAAGGUCAAAAAGCUUCUAGGAGAUCCUAUGUGCAAUGAUGUCAAGAGAAGAUGAAAGCAAGCAUGGUAAUGGUUCCCAAAGCUCUAAUCCAUAAAAUAUUCUUCCCAAGUAUCUCAAUUCAUCAUUUUGAUCAAAGCAAGUCAAGGGGUUUGAGGUUUGUUUCCCAAGGAAACCCUAAUUCAUCUGUUCAUCAAUUGUGCCUUGCUCAUGAAGCAACCUCAACCCAUGGUCAAAUAAAAUCAAGGGAAUUUAUUUAAUUCAUCAUUUCAUGCAUAUUUUAACUUAUUUGAGUGUCCUCAAUCAUCAAUUCAUCAAGAUAUGAGUGUGGACUUGAGAAGUUAAUCAGUCAAUUCAUCUGACUAUUUUGAAAUACACUGAGAUCUAACUUUUUAUGUGUUCGUCAAAUGGAGAUGACCCCAAGAUAAAAAAUGUUCUUAAGGACAAUAUAAACAACUUUCAUGUUUAUCAAAAUUUGAUUUGAAGCUUGGAAGGUCAUCAUCCAUUCCAAGACAUUAUAGGUCAUUUUGACUGAAACCCUAAUUUUGGGUCAACUUCCCAAGAACAUAACUCAUUCAUUUUUCAUUAUUUUAGGAUGAGACUUAAUUAAUUGGAAAUCUUAUUGUGUCUAAUUCAAAUGUUAUGUUGAGCAAAAGUGCAAAAUCUCAAAAGAAAUACAUGUGAUAAUGCAAAACAUUAUAGGUCACUUUGGGCCAAAUGCAUUGAAAUGUGAAAAAGUCCAACUUCAAGUGCCCAUAACUUCUUCAUUAAAAAUCCAAAUGAUAAUAAUGCAAAACAUUAUAGGUCACUUUGGGCCAAAUGCAUUGAAAUGUGAAAAAGUCCAACUUCAAGUGCCCAUAACUUCUUCAUUAAAAAUCCAAAUGAUGCAAAAUUUAAGUCCAAAUUGAUUUUUUUGGAAAUGUCUACAACUAUCAUGUUGAAGAUUUUAUCAUUUGGAGCUUGCAUCAUUGAAACAGAAGGGCUUGAACAUUGGCCAAGUUUGGAAACUUCAUAUAUGCAUGUUUUGCACCCUACACUUCAAGCUCAAAUUUCACUAAUUUCCAAGGCACAAUUGGAGUUUUGAUCAACAUAGCAUUUGUUCCUUAUGCAACAAGCUUUCUAACCAUUACUCAUAAGGUUGCAUUUAGAUUUUGGAAGCAUCAUUUUCGAAGACAUGAAGAAUUAAGUGCAUUUUGUGAAAGCUAUUCCAAUUGCCAUGCAUUAGCUGAUUACAUCAAAUGUACACGUCCAUUUGCCUUUCACAUGAACUCGGCAAGUUGUUUCAACCUUCAUUGGGCCUUCCACAUGCUCACACAGGCCCAUGCAAUUCAAAAUCCAUUUGCCAUGCACACGAGUUAGCUCAUGCAUUUAGCUCUCUCCAUCUAUAAAUACCAUGCCUUGCCUUCACAAUUCUUCAACCUAAUGGCGCCUAAAUCCCUGCUGAAUUGAAUCCCCACCCAUACCAAAGGAACAAACUUCAUUUUUCUCCAAAAUUUUCAGAUCUGAAAUUCAAUUGCAUUGGUUGAAUUUUAAGAUCUAAAGUUCCUAAGCCUCUUCACUUUGAUCCAUUGAAGCUUCUGUUUGCAAAAGGAACCAAAGAGAGUGACUCAACUCUUCACAAUCCAAAGGUUUUGCUCCACUGAAAUUUGCUUCGAAUCUCAUCAUACUUUGCUCAAUUUGCCUUGAUCUUGUGUUGUCUGAAGUCCUCUCUAUAGAGGCAUCAUUAUUAUGUGCUUAAUUGUUGAAAUCGAGCAAGUUUAGUUGAACACCACCAAACUUCCAUCUCUGAUUUCUCUCUUAAUAGGAAUCUAGAGUGGAAUUGAGUGGCAUAGGAGUGAUGUACAUCAUUUCACCUUUCGAAUGGUGCCUGGAUCGUGCAUUUUAGUUAACAUUUGAAUCUCUGCAUUUUUGAACUCUCACCGGAGCUUGCCGAAGAAGACGGUGGCGCUGGCCACCGUCCGUUUGCCAGAUCCAAUCUGAGCCGUGCGAUGCAUUCUCCAUAUUUAAUCUCCAUGCUUCAUUGUUAUGACUUUUCUUUAAUAUCCAUGUGGUUGCAUUGACUGUGGAAUACGCUAGGCGCGCGCUUGUGGAUCCUUGGAUCUGUCAGCUCAAUUAAUGAGCUCAGAUCCAAGGGCUCAAGCUUUUUUUCCUUUUUUUAAUUCUGAUUUUAUUUUCUAUUUCAUUUUUAAAUUUCAUUUUCUAAAAUUCAUAUCUCUUUUAUUAUUGGUCCAAAAAUUAUGGGACCAAUUGCAUUAUUUCUCUUUUAAUUUCUAAUUUCUAAAAAUGAUUUUUAAUAUUUUUUAUUUUAUCAUUUUCUAUUUUUUUAGUAAUUUUCUCUUUUUUGGUUAUUUUUAAUUCAUUUUAAAUAGUUUUUAAUUUUAAAAAAAUACAAAAAUAUUUUCUCAACCUCUUUGAAUGAUGAUAGAUCUAUGAAAAAUAUUCUCAUCAAUUUAUUAAUUGAUUUGGGAUUUAUUUGAGAUUUUAGUUCAAUUAGGUUAUUUUUAUUCAUUUUUAAUUGAUUUAAAAUAGUUUCUGACUUUUAAAAAUGCUGAAAUUUUUUGUCAAGCUUUGUUUGA
rnacentral:lncRNA from 1 species